UAGGGAAUCUUCGGCAAUGGACGAAAGUCUGACCGAGCAACGCCGCGUGAGUGAAGAAGGUUUUCGGAUCGUAAAACUCUGUUGUUAGAGAAGAACAAGACGUUAGUAACUGAACGUCCCCUGACGGUAUCUAACCAGAAAGCCACGGCUAACUACGUGCCAGCAGCCGCGGUAAUACGUAGGUGGCAAGCGUUGUCCGGAUUUAUUGGGCGUAAAGCGAGCGCAGGCGGUUUCUUAAGUCUGAUGUGAAAGCCCCCGGCUCAACCGGGGAGGGUCAUUGGAAACUGGGAGACUUGAGUGCAGAAGAGGAGAGUGGAAUUCCAUGUGUAGCGGUGAAAUGCGUAGAUAUAUGGAGGAACACCAGUGGCGAAGGCGGCUCUCUGGUCUGUAACUGACGCUGAGGCUCGAAAGCGUGGGGAGCAAACAGG
rnacentral:rRNA from 1 species